CACCUCACACCCUGUGAACCACCAGAGGACGCAAACAGUCAAAAGGAGGCAAUCACACAGGCACAGGAGGUUGGGGAGGCAAGGACCAUGGAGCUGGAGGAGGCAAGGACCUCGCAGGUGGAUGAUAUUCAGACCACCAAGGGAGAGGUUGACCCACUGAGCAACCCAGAGGGACAAGUGGAGCAAGUGAACAACAAGACCAACAAAGAUGUCAACACAGGGUCCGCCAAGAGCAGAGAUUUUGUUGGAAGUCGAAAAAAGACAAAGA